rnacentral:rRNA from 1 species
UUUGAUCCUGGCUCAGGACGAACGCUGGCGGCGUGCCUAAUACAUGCAAGUCGAGCGAAUCUGAGGAGCUUGCUCCCAAAGAUUAGCGGCGGACGGGUGAGUAACACGUGGGUAACCUGCCUGUAAGAUUGGGAUAACUCCGGGAAACCGGAGCUAAUACCGGAUAAUAAUUUGAACCGCAUGGUUCAAAUUUGAAAGAUGGCUUCUCGCUAUCACUUACAGAUGGACCCGCGGCGCAUUAGCUAGUUGGUGAGGUAACGGCUCACCAAGGCAACGAUGCGUAGCCGACCUGAGAGGGUGAUCGGCCACACUGGGACUGAGACACGGCCCAGACUCCUACGGGAGGCAGCAGUAGGGAAUCUUCCGCAAUGGACGAAAGUCUGACGGGGCAACGCCGCGUGAACGAUGAAGGCCUUCGGGUCGUAAAGUUCUGUUGUUAGGGAAGAACAAGUGCUAGAGUAACUGCUAGCACCUUGACGGUACCUAACCAGAAAGCCACGGCUAACUACGUG